ACAAUUCCAUGUGUUUGGUUCACAAAAACUAGAAGCCGAUUUUUGGGAGCAUAAGACAAUUAGUAGAUCAGUUUGGUAGAGUCCUGUGGUCCAGUCUAACACAGAUGUUGAACAGGGUGGUGAAUGUCCAAUAAAGACUUUAUGGAUGAAAAGAUACAAGUGUUUAUCACACCUCAACACGACAGAGGACCAAACAACUUUGUUAUACAGAAUGUAAUGGUGAGAGUCAAAGAGAUCUCUGGCAAUGAAUCUGAUAAACUGAGUCUAGGAGGUUUGAGAUUAGAAACAGCAUAGUCUGUAGUACAUAAAAUUAAGAAUGAAGACAUCCUGAUCAAUAUUCUGAUUGAUCCAUUGAUAAACAUCAUCAUCAGAGUGAUCCAGCUCUCUGUUGGAGUCAGUCAGAGCAUUUCCAUAGAGAGCCACUUUGCAUCAGCAGCACCAUGCUCCAGUGCUCUGGGAGAGUUUAUAGUCCUGAGAGUUGAAGACUGGAUGACUGACAGCUGUCCUUCAUGACAACAGAAGCCACAGAAAUCCUCCUCAUCAAAAACAUGACUUUGAUCUCCGUCCUCAUCUGGACUCUCCUCUGCUGCUGCUUCACAGAGUCCAGAGGCCAGGUCACAGUGACUCAGUCUGGAGCAGUGAGAUCUGCUGUGGGAGGCUCCGUCACCAUCACAUGUAGAACCAGUCAGAACGUUCAUGCUGGAGCUUACCAUGACUCAUACUGGUACCAAUACAAAUAUGGAGAAACUCCUAAACUGCUCAUUUAUGGGGCCUCUCAUAGAGCAUCAGGGAUUCCAGAUCGUUUUACAGGCAGUGGAUCAAACUCUGACUUCACUCUGACCAUCAGUGGAGUCCAGGCUGAAGAUGCAGCAGUUUACUACUGUAAGGGUCAUUUCAAUGCAAACGGCCAGUGGUUGUUCACACAAUGAAAAAGCGUCGUACAAAAACCUCCCUCAGUCAGACUGAACAGAAACUGAAGUGACUGCUGCAGCUGGAAGCUACUGCAGAGACUGAUACAGUUCACUGAGGACACACACACACACACACACACACAC